rnacentral:rRNA from 1 species
UACAGAGACUGCAAGCGUUAUUCGGAUUCACUGGGCGUAAAGGGUGCGCAGGCGGCCAAGUGUGUCAGGUGUGAAAUCCCGAGGCUUAACCUCGGAACUGCGCCUGAAACUACUUGGCUAGAGUACUGGAGAGGGUAACGGAAUUCACGGUGUAGCAGUGAAAUGCGUAGAUAUCGUGAGGAACACCAGAGGCGAAGGCGGUUACCUGGACAGUUACUGACGCUCAGGCACGAAAGCAUGGGGAGCAAAAGGG